GUCUCCUCCCAAAGCGUAACGGAGGAGUACGAAGGUACGCUAGGUACGGUCGGAAAUCGUGCUGAUAGUGCAAUGGCAUAAGCGUGCUUAACUGCGAGACCGACAAGUCGAGCAGGUGCGAAAGCAGGUCAUAGUGAUCCGGUGGUUCUGUAUGGAAGGGCCAUCGCUCAACGGAUAAAAGGUACUCUGGGGAUAACAGGCUGAUACCGCCCAAGAGUUCAUAUCGACGGCGGUGUUUGGCACCUCGAUGUCGGCUCAUCUCAUCCUGGGGCUGUAGCCGGUCCCAAGGGUAUGGCUGUUCGCCAUUUAAAGAGGUACGUGAGCUGGGUUUAAAACGUCGUGAGACAGUUUGGUCCCUAUCUGCCGUGGGCGUUGGAUAUUUGAAGGGGGCUGCUCCUAGUACGAGAGGACCGGAGUGGACGAACCUCUGGUGUACCGGUUGUGACGCCAGUCGCAUCGCCGGGUAGCUAUGUUCGGAAGAGAUAACCGCUGAAAGCAUCUAAGCGGGAAACUCGCCUUAAGAUGAGAUAUCCCUGGAGGCUUGACCUCCUUGAAGGGUCGUUCGAGACCAGGACGUUGAUAGGUCAGGUGUGUAAGCGCAGUAAUGCGUUCAGCUAACUGAUACUAAUUGCCCGUAAGGCUUGAUCCUAUAACA
rnacentral:rRNA from 1 species